GUAAAUAUAGUUUAAAAAAACCGUCAGACUGUGAAUCUGAAGAUAGGACAUAGUCAUCCUUAUUUACC
rnacentral:tRNA from 1 species